UCCUCCAGCUAGCACGAAGAAAGACCAGCCACCACCAAGUAAUUCUUGCUUCAAACCUCAGAAAAGUUCCACGGUCUGACGAGUUGCAUAUCCCAGCCUCUUCGAACCGCCUCUCGCUCAGGCUAGCUUCUGGAAAUUAAUAUAGAUCUGAAGGUUUUGAUCGUUCAAUUCUACUUCGGUUAAUCAGAUCACCCCUGAUUGACGAGAUCCUGUGGAGUAACUGAUGGUAUGCAGGUUGGCAGCAGCGUACGUUUUCUCUUGGUGAUUGACCCAUGAUUUUCUAUUCUCUAUUUUUACUCUGGCCUGCGGUUAGCCUCAUGACCUUAAAAUGAGCCAUGGACUGGCCAUCAGAGGCAUCCUCAAGAUGAUCACAAUUGGUUCUUAUUGUUGAAGUUUAUUUCCUUAUGAAAAGACCAGCUUGUGAGCAUUGGAAGCAAAUCACCGCAGUAAACAGUUGGCUUGGUCAACUAAGAGAUGUUAUGUCUGAUGUUGACGGAAUCUUGGACGAGCUACUGCUUGACCAUCAUCAAUCAUCAUCUCCAAGCAAAUCGGUUGAAAUCUUGGACGUGGCUAGAAGUAAAGGAAGCAAGCUACUGCUUUAGCAAAGAGGUAUGGCCUUCGUCAUGCUAGAAAUGAAUUUGUUCCCUAGUUAGCUAAGCACAUCAGUCAUCAGGAGUAUGUUGAGAUAACUCCCUUUUCCCGGAAAACAAUUUUUUUGUUUUUUGAUAAAUCCUGGCUGGUCGAAUCAGUAUGAAUUAUCUGAAACUGGCUGCCUCCCAACUCGGAUUGAAUCGAUCGAUUGUAAUAAUUCAGCACCCUUAGCUAGCCAACUGUUCCUAGGUGAAACUUUUUCAUUUCCCCACCAAUUAGCCAACUUAUACCCCGACCAAUUGGCGCCUUUUUCAUUCUCAAAACAGACACUCGCUUCUCACUGGACCAAAGAGAAAGCAGCCACCGCAAUGUGCCGCCAAAGAGAAAGCAGCCAUCGAAAGUGUCAGCGGCACUGUAGUAGUAGCAGUAUCCAUGCCUGCCUCUCCAUCAAUGACAACUAGCGGCAGCGCUCCGGCCAUGACGCUGUCGUGGAACCCGCUGCCGCAGCGGGGGCAUGUCAAGGAGUACAUCGCCAGUCGCAUUGCCGCGGCCAUGGCAUCGGUUGUCUGCGACGCGGGCAAAUGCUGUGGGAAGAAAUUAUCUGGGAAAAAGUACGUCACGCCUAGUUCUGCCAACAAGAAAUGAUAAGCCGACCAGUACCACACAAAGGCGAGUUGGAUCCGGCCAGCAGGCGAGCACAUGAGCGAGAAUCCGCCGUGUCUCUCUGGUACACACAAAAGUACGUCAUGCCAAUAUAGUUGCACUUUCCUUGGUCGUCGUUGGCUUCUCAUUCCUUGUUGGGAGAACCGGGUGUGGCGGCUGGCAGUAAUUUGCCCCGUGCUACUUUCUUGCCGCCGCAGCCUCCCGUCUCGCAGACAACAGACGCCGUGGCCUCGGCGACCGCGACGAUGUGCUUGGCGACGCACUCCUUGACAUGCCCCUUCCAGGGCAGCGCGUCCCCAACGACGUCUUGGCCGAAGCGUUGCUGCUAGUUGACAUUGGUCGAGGUCGAGGCAGGCACGACUACCGCUACUACUACAGCGCUGCUGGCACUUUGUGGCAGCUGUAUUCUCUGGUCCGGUGAGAAGCGAGUGUGUGUUUGGAGCAUGAUUAUGGCACCAGAUUCAAACAAUUCAUACUGAUUCGGCCAGCUGGAUUUUAUCGAAAAAAACUCAAUUUUCGGGGUUAUCUCGCCGUGCACUUGAUGACUGAUGCGCUUAGCUAGCUGGGGAACAAAUUCGUUUCCAACAUGACGAAGGCCAUUCGUGGGGUCGAAAUCCAUCCUAUUGGAGGGAACAGGUUCGGUAAUCAGUAUCGAGCUUUGCCGGUAGGCCCAGGAGUCAGGACACAACCAUCUCCUCUCAUGCCGCACCAUCACCAUCUUUAACCAAGUGCUCGUCCCAGGUCGUCAAGAUGCAGUGGUGUACAUAUAUGCAUGGCUGACGAUCCUAGUGCACUUACACUAGCCUGAAACUUUAGAAGUUCACAAUUUCGAUCAGUUCCCUACUUGAACGUGACGAGUCUCUCUACUUUGAAUUUAUGUCGAAGGUCCCUUGAUGAAAGUUCAUAAACAUUCUAGUGGAAACAUCCAGUUUAAAUUGAACUUUUAAAGUUUAACGAUGUAGUUGAAUGUCUGGUAAGAAACAACGAAGGGUGGUGUUCACUGCUUAAGAAACAUCACAUACCGCUAACUACAUGUUCAUGUACCGUAUUUGUAUGAGUUAAUCGUAUACUGCUUAUGAAA